rnacentral:snRNA from 1 species
GUUCUUGUGCAGUGGCAGUAUCAUAGCCAAUGAGGUUAAUCCAAGGCAUAAUUAUUGCUAGUUGAAAACUUAGUUUUAUAGUUAGUGUAUAUAGUUGAAAGGGGGAUCGGGGAUUAGCCCC